rnacentral:lncRNA from 13 species
CACCAAACCAAGUCCCGGGACAGGUCGUGUGAGCCCCUUGAGGGGGUCGUCCAGUGCUGUUUCAGAGAAAUCUCUAUUUCAAUCUGUUCCUAUAUGUUUGUUAUUGAAAAACAAUAGACAAUCGAAAAAACAAGUUGAACUUUUUGUGUUCCUUGAGCCCAGUCUUGAAGUGCCCUCGUGACUGUCCCUCAUGCCAAACAACUUGUUACAAAAAGAGCUGGGGUUCCAGACCGCACCAAAGCUUCAUGAGUCCUCUCCUGUCUGUGCACGGACGAGGGUAGGACUCUGGAGCCCAGACUGCUGCUUCCUGAUCUGGUGGUAAAUUCUCCAUAGUCUGGAGGCAGCAGAACUUGUGGAGAAGAGUGAGGCACGUUUGAGAAAGGCUGAAAAAUGUUGCUGUCCAGGCACAUGUGUGUGCUGAAUGACUCAAGGAUUUUUUGGUGCAUUAAAUGAACAGCGCAGCAUUGGACACCUGCUGAUCCAUCACCCCCAGCCCAGGCAGGCACGUGGACGCAGAGAGAUGGAGAAGACCAGGCACGGGACUGAGGAGGGCCACACCACCAGAAAUCCCCCUCUGAGUCCCGGUCC